AGCAGCCGCGGUAAUUCCAGCUCCAAUAGCGUAUAUUAAAGUUGUUGCAGUUAAAAAGCUCGUAGUUGAAUUUCGGGAUUGGCGCAUCGGUCGUGCCUCACGGGGUAUGAACUGGUGCAGUCAAUUUCUCACCUUCUGGAGAACCGCGAUGUCCUUAAUUGGAUGCCGUGGGGAACCAGGACCUUUACUUUGAAAAAUUAGAGUGUUUAAAGCAGGCAUUUUUGCUUGAAUACAUUAGCAUGGAAUAAUAAAAUAGGACGGCAUGGUUCUAUUUUGUUGGUUUCUAGGACCACCGUAAUGAUUAAUAGGGAUAGUUGGGGGCAUUAGUACUCAAUUGUCAGAGGUGAAAUUCUUGGAUUUAUUGAAGACUAACUACUGCGAAAGCAUUUGCCAAGGAUGUUUUCAUUAAUCAAGAACGAAAGUUAGGGGAUCGAAGACGAUCAGAUACCGUCGUAGUCUUAACCAUAAACUAUGCCGACUAGGAAUCAGACGAUGUUAAUUUUUAAUGACUCGUUUGGCA
rnacentral:misc_RNA from 1 species